AAAUAGAGCAAAAUUGACAAAAGCUUUCGUGAGCUUCUGUUUGAGUCAAUUGAGUGUUUCUUCUUCAGCCGAUAGGCGAUAACCUCGCCGAUAGCCGUUCAGCCACCACCGCCGCUCUUGAGAUCCAUCGCCGAUCUCUGGCCUCCAUCACUCUUGAGAUCCACAGCCUUCAAUCGCUGGCCUCCGCCGCCGCAACACCACCAGUUCGUUCAGAUUUCAAGAGAAGCAAGUAGUUAGCAAGCGGGUGAACUGAAGCUAAAGCCUAAAUCUGGUGACUCUGGUUGAAAAAGAUCCGGUGGAUAUAAAAAGAGGUCUUAUGAUCCGGUGGAUUAUGAAACUAUUGAUAAAGUUUAAUUUUGGGUAAUUGAUGAGGAACAAGAAGGAGAGCUUGAUUAUGAUGAGUUAGAAGAAAUGAUUGAAGAAGAAUUUCCCAAAACUAGCGAGAAUGAAGCCUCUCAAUCACAUAAGAAAGACACAAAUAUUGUGCAACUUGAUGAUGAGGAUGAUGUUGAUGAUAUCGACUUCGAAAGUUAUGAAAUUGGAGAUAAGGAUGAUGAAGAUGAAGAUGAAGAAUGGCUUAGAUAGUUCUUUGGAACAUGGUGUUUUAUUUAGAUUGAUAUUAUCAAGCAUUUGAACAUGAACUUGUUACCUUAUUUGGAUUGCUAUUUGUUAAUGAUUGAACAUAUAUGGGAUUUCUAUUUUAUAAAUUUGUGAGUUUGGAU